CCUACGGGGGGCAGCAGUGAGGAAUAUUGGUCAAUGGGCGCGAGCCUGAACCAGCCAAGUCGCGUGAGGGAAGACGGUCCUAUGGAUUGUAAACCUCUUUUGUCGGGGAGCAAAAGACGCCACGCGUGGCGUUCCGACAGUACCCGAAGAAAAAGCAUCGGCUAACUCCGUGCCAGCAGCCGCGGUAAUACGGAGGAUGCGAGCGUUAUCCGGAUUUAUUGGGUUUAAAGGGUGCGCAGGCGGAAGAUCAAGUCAGCGGUAAAAUGGAGGGGCUCAACCUCUUCGAGCCGUUGAAACUGUUUGUCUUGAGUGAGCGAGAGGUAUGCGGAAUGCGUGGAGUAGCGGUGAAAUGCAUAGAUAUCACGCAGAACUCCGAUUGCGAAGGCAGCAUACCGGCGCUCAACUGACGCUCAUGCACGAGAGUGUGGGUAGCGAACAGGAUUAGAUACCCUUGUAGUC
rnacentral:rRNA from 1 species